CGCUAUCACUCCUACGGGAGGCAGCAGUGGGGAAUAUUGCACAAUGGGGGAAACCCUGAUGCAGCCAUGCCGCGUGUGUGAAGAAGGCCUUCGGGUUGUAAAAGCACUUUCAGUAGGGAGGAAGGUAGUGUAGUUAACACCUGCAUUAUUUGACGUUACCUACAGAAGAAGCACCGGCUAACUCCGUGCCAGCAGCCGCGGUAAUACGGAGGGUGCGAGCGUUAAUCGGAAUUACUGGGCGUAAAGCGCAUGCAGGCGGCCUGUUAAGUCAGAUGUGAAAGCCCGGGGCUUAACCUCGGAAUUGCAUUUGAAACUGGCAGGCUAGAGUCUUGUAGAGGGGGUAGAAUUUCAGGUGUAGCGGUGAAAAUGCGUAGAGAUCUGAAGGAAUACCAGUGGCGAAGGCGGCCCCCUGGACAAAGACUGACGCUCAGAUGCGAAAGCGUGGGGAGCAAACAGGAUUAGAUACCCUGGUAG
rnacentral:rRNA from 1 species